rnacentral:rRNA from 1 species
AGUGAACGCUGGCGGUAGGCCUAACACAUGCAAGUCGAACGGCAGCACAGUAAGAGCUUGCUCUUACGGGUGGCGAGUGGCGGACGGGUGAGGAAUACAUCGGAAUCUACUUUUUCGUGGGGGAUAACGUAGGGAAACUUACGCUAAUACCGCAUACGACCUACGGGUGAAAGCAGGGGAUCUUCGGACCUUGCGCGAAUGAAUGAGCCGAUGUCGGAUUAGCUAGUUGGCGGGGUAAAGGCCCACCAAGGCGACGAUCCGUAGCUGGUCUGAGAGGAUGAUCGGCCACACUGGAACUGGGACACGGUCCAGACUCCUACGGGAGGCAGCAGUGGGGAAUAUUGGACAAUGGGCGCAAGCCUUAUCCAGCCAUACCGCGUGGGUGAAGAAGGCCUUCGGGUUGUAAAGCCCUUUUGUUGGGAAAGAAAAGCAGCAGGUUAAUACCCCGCUGUUCUGACGGUACCCAAAGAAUAAGCACCGGCUAACUUCGUG